rnacentral:tRNA from 1 species
GUCACCAUGUCCGAGCGGUUAAGGAGUUAGACUUGAAAUCUAAUGGGCUAUGCCCGCGCAGGUUCAAGUCCUGCUGGUGACG